GCUCUAGAGACCUCAGUUUUCCUUCAUUUAGCUAUCACCACUAUGUGUAGGUUCAUGAAGCAUAUGAUAUCCUGGCAUGGAGUCACACCUAACAUCAUCUUUGGACCAAGGGACCUUCUUUGUAGUAAAAGUUGACCUUGGCCAAGCAAAAGGCCCCUUGCCUGGGAAGUUUUCUCUACUAGGGUGGAUAGCCCAUUCCAAUAACUGACUGACUUGGAGAUACCGACUGUGGACACUCUUGCUUCAAGGUGAGAUGAGCUCUGUGGGCAAUCUGA